AUUGAACGCUGGCGGCAGGCCUAACACAUGCAAGUCGAGCGAGCGGCGGACGGGUGAGUAAUAUCUGGGUAACUGCCUGCUGGGGGGGGCUAACUACUGGGAACGGUAACUAAUACCGCAUACCAUCAGAUUUGCCCAGAUGGGAUUAGCUAGUAGGUGGGGUAACGGCUCACCUAGGCGACGAUCCCUAGCUGGUCUGAGAGGAUGACCAGCCACACUGGAACUGAGACAAGGUCCAGACUCCUACGGGAGGCAGCAGUGGGGAAUAUUGGACAAUGGGCGCAAGCCUGAUGCAGCCAUGCCGCGUGUGUGAAGAAGGCCGUCGGGUUGUAAAGCACUUUAAGCGGGGAGGCGUUACCCGCAGAAGAAGCACCGGCUAACUCCGUACCAGCAGCCGCGGUAAUAC
rnacentral:rRNA from 1 species